GCCCUCUUAGCUCAGUGGUAGUAGCGCGUCACUAGUAGAACCCCUAUUUAUGACGAGGUCAGUCGUUCAAAUCGGCUAGAGGGCA